rnacentral:tRNA from 1 species
GCUGAAGUGGCCUAGUUGAUAAAGCGUUUGGUCUCUAACAAGAGCGACCUGGGUUUGAAUCCCACCCUUAACC